AACAAUGUAGGAAUUAAUAUUUUUUACUUCAUCGAUAAAUAAUGGGAAGUUUAGGAUUCAAACUGCAUUUCACGAGUUCAUUGAAAGAGUAGAGAGCUGUUCUAACUCAUGCAGCAAUAACAAAUAUACAGAAGCAAGGACAUAAACAACCAGUAGGCACGUAGAAUGGAGAGAGUAUUUCAGUAUUUGAACACCCUAAUCUACGUGUGUACUGUGUUUCAACUAUCCAGUUUAUAUCAUGACUCAUUUAGAGCAGAAUCAUAGGUGAUCAGUGAUGAAUAACGUAUUAUAAGAAGGACGACAAUAUAACUCGG
rnacentral:lncRNA from 1 species